GUGUCAGCCGCCGCGGUAAUACGUAGGGUGCGAGCGUUAAUCGGAAUUACUGGGCGUAAAGCGUGCGCAGGCGGCGCCGCAAGUCAGGCGUGAAAUCCCCGAGCUUAACUUGGGAAUGGCGCUUGAAACUACGGUGCUGGAGUGUGGCAGAGGGAGGUGGAAUUCCACGUGUAGCGGUGAAAUGCGUAGAGAUGUGGAGGAACACCGAUGGCGAAGGCAGCCCCCUGGGCUAACACUGACGCUCAUGCACGAAAGCGUGGGGAGCAAACAGGAUUAGAUACCCUCGUAGUCC
rnacentral:rRNA from 1 species